rnacentral:rRNA from 1 species
CGGGUGCGUAACACGUAUACAAUCUACCUUUAAGAGGGGGAUAGCCUUUCGAAAGAGAGAUUAAUACCCCAUAAUAAAUUGAAUGGCAUCAUUUGAUUUUGAAAGCUCCGGCGGUUAAAGAUGAGUAUGCGUCUGAUUAGCUAGUUGGUGAGGUAACGGCUCACCAAGGCAACGAUCAGUAGGGGAUCUGAGAGGACUACCCCCCACACUGGUACUGAGACGCGGACCAG